rnacentral:tRNA from 1 species
GGAAGCGUUCCCGAGUGGCCAAAGGGGGCAGACUGUAAAUCUGUUGCAUCUUUGCUUCGGUGGUCCGAAUCCACCCGCUUCCACCA